rnacentral:misc_RNA from 1 species
GUGAAUCAUCGAAUUUUUGAACGCAAAUUGCACUCCCUGGUAUUCCGGGGAGUAUGCCUGUUUGAGGGUCACCAAAUCAACAUCUAUUUCCGUUGCUUUUUUUUUUUUAAAGGUGCCUUACUACCGGAUUUGGGCUUUUCUUUCUUUUUUUUUUUAAUAAACUGCCUUACAAUUUUUUUUUUUUUGUAUCCUCCACCGUCU